UUUAGGAAAAUGCAUCUGCUCAGGUCAAUAAGUGUACAAAUGUUUUUGCUUCUACCAGUUCUACAAGUUCCACCAUUGUUAAGGAAAAUGCAUCUACUCAAUAUGAAAAAAGUGUAGAUAAAAAUGAUUCUGCCUCCACCAUUGUUAAGGAAAAUGCAUCUGCUCAGGUCAAUAAGUGUACAAAUGUUUUUGCUUCUACCAGUUCUACAAGUUCCACCAUUGUUAAGGAAAAUGCAUCUACUCAAGAUGAAAAAAGAGUAGAUAAAAAUGAUUCUGCCUCCAACA